CGAAAUCAGUUCCUUUCGAAAGCUGCAAGACUUCAGCUUUUGAGAUUUUAUGAUUUCGUAGAUCAAAUGACAAUUCUUCACCCAUUAUCAAUGAAAGAUAAUUGUAUGAAUGGUUUUGAUAUUGUCGAUAAACU
rnacentral:snoRNA from 1 species